rnacentral:lncRNA from 1 species
CGCAUUUCCAUAAUCUGGAAAUUGUGACAGAUAUUUUGAGGGAGAGGAGGCUGCCUUUCUUUUUUCCCUGAGAAAACACUAAAAUAGGUUUUCUGGUUUCACCAGGCCAAGGAGCUGAAUUAACAUCACGGAAGCCUGUAGGAUACAGAUCUCGCCAUUUCCACCCUCCCUGGUCCUCAUUGUCGACUUGCUCAUCCUCGUGUCCCCUGUCAUUCAUUCAGCAAAUAGGCUGGAGUGCUUGCUCUGUGCCAGGUGUCGUGCCAGGUGCCAUGGAUUCUGCAGUGCACGAAAUGGCCAAGUCCAUGCUCCUUGCCCAGUGGGGGAGAUAGAAAAAAACAACAGGCAAAUAAAGAAAGGAGCAUGCUCAUUCCGCGUUGUGGGAAGUCAGGAGGACAGCAAACAGAGUGAAAGAAGCCUCUUUAGAAAGAGAGUGCUACGUUCUCUAUCACAUCGCCGAGGCACGACUGAAAACAAGACCUUCUCGGAGCCCGCAGGAAUGCUUAUACCCGGGUGUGCCGGGCACGGGUUACCUGCGGAGAAAACGGCCGAGAUGGAGUGGGACGGACAGAGCCCAUGCUCGCCUGGAGGCGGGGGAGGCAGACAGUAAUCAGAUGACGGCUCAGACACCAUCACCAUGAGAGUUGUGAAGGGAGCACGCCGGGCAUCUUCCAGGAUCAAGGCAAAGCUGGAGGGGUUGUGAGCAAGGGGAGAGAGGCCCAAGCCAAGGUCAGUGAGGGGGCAGAAGCCAGAUCCUGUAGGGCCUGGCAGGCCAUAGGACUGCAUUUGGAUUUUAUUCUAAUGUAAUGAGAAGCUAAUGAGGGUUUUUGGCAAAGCCCAAUAUAUCUGGUUUAUGUUUUUUGGUGUGGUAUUUUUUUGCUGAGGACUGAGCUAACAUCUGUGCCAAACUUCCUCUUUUUUAUGUGGGAUGCUGCCACAGCUUGGAUUAAUGAGCGGUGUGUAGGUCCAUGCCCCGGAUCUGGGCCCGCAAACCCCAGGCCACUGAAGCAGAGAGUGUGGCCUUAACCAUUACGCGACCCAGCCAGCCUCUGAUUUAUGAUCUUUAAACAGCCUUUCGGCUGCUGUGUACUGUG